CUCCACCCAGACUCAUCCAUUUCGUAUCUAUAGAGAGUUUCUGUUGGUGCCGCUAUUGCUUCAUAAGUACCCGUACCGUAAACCGACACAGGUGGAUGAGGAGAGAAUCCUAAGGCCGGCGGGAGAAGUGUUGUUAAGGAACUCGGCAAAAUGACUCCGUAACUUCGGGAGAAGGAGUGCCACAGAGAUGUGGCCGCAGAGAAAUGGCCCAAGCAACUGUUUAGCAAAAACACAGGUCUAUGCAAAACCGAAAGGUGAGGUAUAUGGGCUGACGCCUGCCCGGUGCUGGAAGGUUAAGAGGAGAGGUUAGAGCAAUCGAAGCUUUGAAUUUAAGCCCCAGUAAACGGCGGCCGUAACGAUAACGGUCCUAAGGUAGCGAAAUUCCUUGUCGGGUAAGUUCCGACCCGCACGAAAGGCGUAAUGAUUUGGGCACUGUCUCAACAACACACCCGGUGAAAUUGAAAUACCAGUGAAGAUGCUGGUUACCUGCGCCAGGACGGAAAGACCCCAUGGAGCUUUACUCCAGUUUGAUACUGGGAUUCGGUACUGUCUGUACAGGAUAGGUGGGAGGCUAGGAAAUGGUGACGCCAGUUGCCAUGGAGCCAACCUUGGGAUACCACCCUUACAGUACUGGGUUUCUAACCUGCAGCCGUAACCCGGCUGGGGGACAAUGUCUGACGGGGAGUUUGACUGGGGCGGUCGCCUCCGAAAGAGUAUCGGAGGCGCUCAAAGGUUCCCUCAGAACGGUUGGAAACCGUUCGAAGAGUGCAAAGGCAGAAGGGAGCUUGACUGCGACACCGACGGGUGGAGCAGAUACGAAAGUAGGACUUAGUGAUCCGGUGGUAUAAAGUGGGAUUGCCAUCGCUCAACGGAUAAAAGCUACCCUGGGAUAACAGGCUUAUCACUCCCAAGAGUUCACAUCGACGGAGUGGUUUGGCACCUCGAUGUCGGCUCAUCGCAUCCUGGAGCUGUAGCAGGUUCCAAGGGUUGGGCUGUUCGCCCAUUAAAGCGGUACGCGAGCUGGGUUCAGAACGUCGUGAGACAGUUCGGUCCCUAUCCGGCGUGGGCGUAGGAUAUUUGAGAGGAGCUGUCCUUAGUACGAGAGGACCGGGAUGGACAAACCUCUGGUGUAUCUGUUGUUUUACCAAAGGCAUGGCAGAGUAGCCAAGUUUGGCAGGGAUAAACGCUGAAGGCAUCUAAGCGUGAAGCCCCCCUCAAGAUAAGAUAUCCCAUCUUCGGAGUAAGACCCCUUGAAGACUACAAGGUUGAUAGGCUUUGUGUGUAAGUGCGGUAACGCACUCAGCUGAGAAGUACUAAUAGGUCGAGGACUUAUC
rnacentral:rRNA from 1 species